AUGUUUAAAAGUUCCCCAUGCGAUUGCAGCGUGUGGCAAGGAAGAGAGACUGAGAUGCACUGGGCAUGGGCAUCAUCCCAAGGAAAGUGCCCCACGAGGAGAGGGGAAGAAGUGAGGGAGCAGCACCGGGGUGUGGGUGGAGUCACCCCACUCCUCCCCUCCAACGGAGCAGCACAGCAAGACAAAUGUGUCAGGUUUUCAAAGGAGAAAAGGCAACGAUCACCCUGUAGAUGACGAUCACUGUCAGUGCCAGAGGUAAGCACGUUACACCUGCUCCAGGGUGACAACCCGCAGGGACAGCCAGCAGAAGCUUGGGAAGCUCACAGGACUCCAGAGGGAUUAAAGACAGGGGAAAGCAGGUGCUCUGAGGUGACUCUGAAGCAGAGAUCCCUCUGCCCUUUCUCAGGGCCUC
rnacentral:lncRNA from 1 species